UUUUUUUUUUUUUUUAAUUUGUCUUCCUCUUGAUUAGAUCUGGUUUUGUAAGAUAUUGUGGAUAAGGAUUUUUGAAUUUUGAUCAGAACGAAUGGAAUUGCGAGGUUAUCGACUACGGCUAUGGAUUUGGUUGCGCUUGGUGUCUUGUUUAGUGAUUGGCGGUUUCAAACAAUCCAACAAUUAACAUAAAGUUAGCUAGUUCUGGGUUGCUUAAUUUUUUUGCUUCACAUAAAUCUCAUAUCAGGUUGUUUUCUUCACGCUCUUCUAUGUUUGAUCUUGCUUACUAUAUUACUUUGUUGUUUGCUAUCAAUAGACUGAAUAUGUGAUGAUGACGAGAAUUCUGGAGAAGUUGAAGAACAUAAGCUUGAAGAAGCAGUUGGCCCGUUUAAAGGGAACAGAUAGUGGUAUAUAGAGAGUAACCUAGAGGAGAUGAAGUUGCAUGGUACUCUGAUGGCGAUACAUUGGUUAGGCAUGAAUACAAUUUGAUUAUAUAUAGUGUCUGAGUGAAUGUUUUCCAAGUUUUUUUGAUGUCAGAUAAAGUUUUUGUACCACAAGCAACUACUAUAGACGUUUAUGAUGUAGCUGCAAGGCCAGUAGUCAAGGCAGCUGUGGAAGGUCACAAUAUUACUCAGGGGCUGUACAGAGGUGCCAAAAACAAUGAAAUGAGGAUUGGACUUUGCUCAAGAACCAGUGAUGUUAUCGAGCCUAUGAAGAAGCUCGAAAAGAGGCUUCUCAGAAAUUUGAUAGGAAGAAGUUUGAAGUUCAAGAUCCUGUACAUUUUGUUUAACACUUGGUGCCACUUUGUUAUGUAAGACUUAUUUUGGUUAAUGUAAUAUUAAAGUUAUGUAUGUGAUUCUUUUAUAAAAUAUAAAAUAUAAAUCUAAUUAAAUAAA